rnacentral:tRNA from 1 species
UGGGGGCGUAGCUCAGCUGGAAGAGCACCUGCCUUGCACGCAGGAGGCCAGCGGUUCGAGUCCGCUCGCCUCCAU